rnacentral:rRNA from 1 species
CGGAGAUCCAAGCGUUAUCUGGAAUCAUUGGGUUUAAAGGGUCCGUAGGCGGUUUGAUAAGUCAGUGGUGAAAGCCCAUCGCUCAACGAUGGAACGGCCUAUUGAUACUGUCAGACUUGAAUUACUGGGAAGUAACUAGAAUAUGUAGUGUAGCGGUGAAAUGCUUAGAUAUUACAUGGAAUACCAAUUGCGAAGGCAGGUUACUACCAGUGGAUUGACGCUGAUGGACGAAAGCGUGGGGAGCGAACAGGAUUAGAUACCCUGGUAGUCCACGCCGUAAACGAUGGAUACUAGCUGUUCGGAGCAAUCUGAGUGGCUAAGCGAAAGUGAUAAGUAUCCCACCUGGGGAGUACGUUCGCAAGAAUG